rnacentral:rRNA from 1 species
UGCGCAGGCGGCCUUGUCAGUCAGAGGUGAAAUCCCGGGGCUCAACUCCGGAACUGCCUUUGAUACUGCAGGGCUUGAAUACGGUUGAGGUAGGCGGAAUGUAGCAUGUAGCGGUGAAAUGCAUAGAUAUGCUACAGAACACCGAUCGCGAAGGCAGCUUACCAAGCCGAUAUUGACGCUCAGGCACGAAAGCGUGGGUAGCGAACAGGAUUAGAUACCCUGGUAGUCC